rnacentral:misc_RNA from 1 species
AAAAAAUAAAAAAUAAAAAAGGAAAACUGAAGAAGCAACAAGGAAGAUGAUGCUUCUCUUUCACAGGAUAUAUAACUAUAAAGUAAUAAUAAGGAAAUAUGUUUAUGUAAUGUAAAGCAUGUCCUUCCUCAUCACCUACUACUGACAACUCCACAUCCUCUUACCCAUUCAACCCAAUUUUCAAAACCCAGAAUGGAAACCCUACAUGAAUCUCUUCAUUUUAGGGAGUUUUUGACAAUGUAGCUGUUUUUGCUGGCUGCCACCAAGCUUAUUUCCAUCUGGGUUGUUGAUAAGUAUCAAACUUUAGGGUUUUUAUUUUCUGCAUGUGAGAGUGUUGAUAAGGAACAAGCUUCACAAUCAGGUUUAUUAGCAUCAACAGAAAAUGGCUACCAAUCUUAAUGAUAGCCUGACCAAGAAGUACAUUGGUUUAGAGUUGUGGGUAAUAGUUGCCAUCUGUUUGGGAGUGGUUUGUAUAGUGAUCCUGGUAGUUUCACUAUGGUUCACUUUUAGAAAGAAAAAAAGGACAAACAGCACGCUUCCUGUAAGUCAAAGAUCCAAGGUUUCAGAGGAAAUUAAAGAGAUUGGUGUUGAUCAAAACUCAGCAAAUAAUGGUGGUUUCCUGAGCCUUAAUGAUAAGUUCAGUGACAAAGAUUCAGAGAAAGUAUUGAUCCAAUUAGAAAAUGGAGAUGAUAGCAGCCAGUCAGGCUCCUUCACUCAUGUUGACAAAGAUGGUGUUGGAUCUCAAUUAGGAGAAGAGGGAGCCACAGGAACAGCUUCUGCCUACAGACCUUCUUCACAUCCCUUGACUGCCCCUUCGCCUCUUUCUGGUCUACCUGAAUUUUCACACUUGGGCUGGGGUCAUUGGUUUACCCUCAGAGAUCUGCAAGUUGCAACAAACCGGUUUUCCAAGGAUAAUAUAAUUGGUGAUGGUGGAUAUGGAGUUGUUUAUCAGGGACAUCUGACGAAUGGUACUCCUGUGGCUGUCAAGAAGCUCCUGAACAAUCCAGGACAAGCUGAUAAGGAUUUUAGAGUUGAAGUAGAGGCUAUUGGUCACGUGAGGCAUAAAAACCUAGUUCGACUUCUUGGAUAUUGCAUUGAAGGAACCCAGAGGUUGCUGGUAUAUGAGUAUGUGAAUAAUGGCAAUUUAGAGCAAUGGCUCCAUGGGGCCAUGCGCCAGCAUGGUUAUCUUACUUGGGAGGCUCGCAUGAAAAUUCUACUUGGCACUGCUAAGGCGCUGGCUUAUUUGCACGAGGCCAUUGAGCCAAAGGUGGUGCACCGUGACAUAAAAUCAAGCAACAUAUUAAUUGAUGACAACUUUGAAGCUAAAAUAUCUGAUUUUGGUCUGGCCAAACUUGAUGAAGAAGGGAAUACCCACAUAAGUACCCGAGUUGCAGGAACCUUUGGAUAUAUGGCACCUGAAUAUGCUACAGAUGGGAUUUUCUCUGGCAAAUCUGAU